rnacentral:rRNA from 1 species
AUGGGGAGGGCCGUCGCUACCAUGUCUCCCCUCCAGAUGGCCUUCUUGCGACGACCAGCUGCUGGCGAUUUGGCCGUGACGGUGAGCCCAACCUCGGAUCUGUCCAUGACGGUUAACCCCCGGAUCUGUCUCCAUCUUCCUCCCCCUCCAUUAGUUGCUGGCCGUGACGGUGAGCCCAACCUCGAAGAGGAAGGAGCAUGA